AUCGACCACUCCCACAAACGUCUACGACCGCGCCUACAUAGUUUUGCAUGUUUACAAUUCUAAUUUUAAACAGCUAAUUACCAAGAACCUGAUUGGCUGUUCAAAAUUAGAAUUGUAAACAUGCAAAACUAGGUAGGCGCGGUCGUAGACGUUUGUGGGAGUGGUCGAU